AAAGUCCUAGCUUAAUUAAAGCGCCUGAGUUGCAUUCAGGAGAUGUGGGGUAAUGUCCCGCGGAUUUUA
rnacentral:tRNA from 1 species